CCUACGGGCGGCUGCAGUGGGGAAUCUUGCGCAAUGGGCGAAAGCCUGACGCAGCCAUGCCGCGUGAAUGAUGAAGGUCUUAGGAUUGUAAAAUUCUUUCACCGGGGACGAUAAUGACGGUACCCGGAGAAGAAGCCCCGGCUAACUUCGUGCCAGCAGCCGCGGUAAUACGAAGGGGGCUAGCGUUGCUCGGAAUUACUGGGCGUAAAGGGCGCGUAGGCGGACAUUUAAGUCAGGGGUGAAAUCCCAGAGCUCAACUCUGGAACUGCCUUUGAUACUGGGUGUCUUGAGUGUGAGAGAGGUAUGUGGAACUCCGAGUGUAGAGGUGAAAUUCGUAGAUAUUCGGAAGAACACCAGUGGCGAAGGCGACAUACUGGCUCAUUACUGACGCUGAGGCGCGAAAGCGUGGGGAGCAAACAGGAUUAGAUACCCUUGUAGUC
rnacentral:rRNA from 1 species